AGCGAACGUUUGCGGCGGGCCUAACACAUGCAAGUCGAACGCACUAGCAAUAGUGAGUGGCGCACGGGUGCGUAACACGUGGGUAAUCAACCCUUCAGCCUGGGAUAACGACUCGAAAGGGUCGCUAAUACCGGAUACGGCGCGAGAGGCUUCGGCUUCUCACGAGAAAGCCACGCAAGGGGCACUGAAGGACGAGCCUGCGGCCCAUCAGCUAGUUGGUGAGGUAAGAGCUCACCAAGGCUAAGACGGGUAGCUGGUCUGAGAGGAUGAUCAGCCACACUGGAACUGAGACACGGUCCAGACUCCUACGGGAGGCAGCAGUGGGGAAUAUUGCGCAAUGGGCGAAAGCCUGACGCAGCCACGCCGCGUGAGCGAUGAAGGCCUUGGUCGUAAGACUCUGUGGGAGAGACGAAGAAAGACCUAGUGAAGAGCAGGCCUUGACGGUAUCUCCUUAGCAAGCACCGGCUAACUACCGU
rnacentral:rRNA from 1 species